CCUCUUUCCUGUACUGACCCUGGAUGCUCUGCUUUCUGCUUCUAUGGGUUCAUGGGGAGUUACUGUCAUCUUCCUUGCGGGCAGUGGCUGCCCUCAGAGCAGAGGGAACAAGCGGAAGACUGUCUGGUUUAGCCCACGGGCCAAGGGGAAGGAGUACCCAGGAGCCACCACCCCCACUUGCAUAGCAGGGCCAUGCAAUCCCAGCUUUGUGCGGACUGGUCUCACGUGUCAUCCUUAGCGGAUAAAGCUAUUCCCCAAGGAUGUUGUUCUAACAGAAUUCUGCAUUGCUGGGCCAACUGCCGGCUCAUCUCAUCUCCAGCAAGGUGGCAUAAAAAUGGAAGGCAGCCAUGCGUGUCCGUCAUGUGGAUGAUGAGCCCUCCUCACAGCGGUGCCUCCUUGGAAGUCUGGCUCUUGCCAAGUGCCUGAUUUCUCACUAGGAAAUCUUUUUCCUGUUUCUCUUGAGGGCAGAGAAGGGCGAAUGUCCUCUCAGCAUGUGAACUACAGGCUAACAGAAAAAUCUGUGACAAUACACGGCAGACCUGCCGUGACCUCUGCGCAGCGCAGACUGUAUCUGUGAAUGACAGGAGGUCAAGGAAUAGAUUUUCCUACACCGAGGAGCUGGCGUGGUUAAGCCCUCUUCUGAGAGACUGUGCAGCUCUCUAAACUCCAAAGAACAGCCUGUCAGUGACUAAAUGGAGCAGCUACCAAGUCUAAGGAUAUCAAGGCCAAAGCCAAUGAUAUACCUCUCCAGAAGAGCCAGUCUAGAUGGAAUUGUGAGGCAGUUGACACUGGGGCAGCAGCACUGGAACAAGAGGUCUGUCUGAAAAUCUGGCCCCUCUGCUCCAACAUCUAGGAACCAAAUAACUUCCCACAACUAGGCAGAUCUCUUGUCAAUCUAAAACAGAAGCAGUGUGUAGUGUGGUAGUCACAGGUAAGGGUAAGGAGAAAGAUCAGUGAGUGAAGUACUCAAGGUCCUGAGGUAGGAGCCCCAGGACCCAUGUAAAAAGCUGGGUGAGUUGCACAACUGGAAUCCCAGAGGAGGGGAGGCAGAGACAGGCAUUUUCCUGGGGCUUUUGGCUACCGAUCCAGCCAAACUGUUUCAGUGAGAGAGUGUGACUCCAAAAAGGGGGUUAGGGGCUUAGUGACUGAGGAAGAUACUUGAUUUAGAGUAACGUACAAUGAUCUAGUAGCUGACACUGCUGUGUUCCUACUGUGUGAAAGGGGAAGAGAAGCUUGUCCAGAACCAGGUUGAAGCACUAUUGUGGUCUGGAGAAGGGCUCAGUGCAGAAGAAGAAGGCCAGAACAUAGAUCCUGUCCCACAAUGGGAACAGAGGGCUACAACAGUCUGUCUGGAGAGGACUGGAAGUGGUGGUCCCAGGCAAACAGGUCUAUUGAGAAACUGUUAUACAGAAGGUGACUGGCCAACACACCAUCGGGACAACUAUUGUGUAAAAAAUUCAGAAUGGACCGUUAGGACGCCCGCUCUAGCCUGGGAUGAAAAUGAACCAAUACAGCAGAGUCACCCAUAAGACCUUUGCUAAAUCCUCCCGAGAUUCCCAUGAAGACUGUCUUGUCCUGAGGUUUCGCUUUUCGAAGAGUCUGCUUUCCACAGUAAAUAUAAGCAAAUUACACCACCACUGUAGAGCUACAUGCUGAUUCCUGCCCUCCCUCCUCUUCUCAGUUUCUCUCUGUCCCUAGCCCACUGUCUGUGGACUGUGUAAAAAGCUCUGGUCUUUGUUGUUGAGGUGGGCACUUGGUACAGAGGAAAAACGCUUUAAACCUGACCAUAGCCAAUUCUAAGAGACAGUAUGAGCCCAGGGAAUGACUUGUACCAUCCAGGCAAAAAACCAGUGACGUGCAGUUGCCUAGGGAGACAGAUGCAGUUCUGCAAAGCAUCCGAAGUAGUAGGCUGAGUUGCAGAGCGUUGGGGAGCCCUGGGGGACAAGCCUGCUGCCUAAGCAGGAAUCUGUGGGCAUCAGGCUGGCUGGAGAAAUGACUAGUUAACUGGAUACACCUUCACACGACGACUGUUACGAUGUGCCCGGGUAUACGAUGGACCUGAGUCAGAUCAAUAGAGGCAAAAUGGCAGAAAAUAGGUCGAGGUCUCUCAUCUCUAGGAGAGAUGUUUCCAUUGCAUUAAGGUAUGCAAAUGUGUAUGUAAAAUGAUCCAAUGUACAUAAAUGUAUAUGCAUGUACACAUAUAAAUGAUUUGGUGAGUAAAAGUAUCACGUAUGGAAA